GCCUACUCUUCUCUCCAUCAGGUCCUAACGAAGAGAGGAGUGUUCCCCUCUAAACAUGCUAUCCCUGCUUGGCGAGCACUUACAGCCAGAAAGUCGGAUUCCAAGAGUUGUACACUCUGCCAAGAAUACUCCACCACUCCUUUACUCCAAAUAAUAUAGGAGGACAUUUAUCAUUAUGUGCUUUGGAUAUGGCUUGGCUCUUGUUUCCUGUGCUCCCCAAAAAUGGACAUCUUCUCCCUUUAUAUCCUGGCAAAUGAUCUCCCACGCCCGUGCCUGGCAUUCCUCACUGCAUUUUAUUUGACUGAGACGGAUUUGUUGAAUCUCCGACUGCUCCCAGAUAUUCUGCCAGUAGCACUUCUAUAGAACAUAAAUUCACUCUACCCAUCAGUGAGCCGCCAAUCACGAAGGCACUGCCAGUGGUUGGUGUCUGCCUCUUCCUCUCUAUCUUUCUUUCCAUCACUGUGUGGUUGCAUAGGGAGCAAGUCCUAUGGCUCAACAUAAGAUUAUAAACCUGCGUCUUCUGUGCGCGCUAAGAAAAGUUCAAAGUAGAUGUCUCUUAUAUGAGUGUAAUUUGUCUAUCUUAGCAGUCAUUUCUUCUUGCACUAAUGCACCUAAAAUAAAAAAGAACCAAUUCUGCAAAUAUUCUAUCCUUCCAUCUUUUCUUAGGCUUGUGUAACAAAUUGGGCAUGAUAAUAAAAUUAAUGCAAUUUAAAUCUGUUGGUUAAACAAGAUUUGUCAUCCAACAUAAAAAUGGAGGAAAAGGAGGGCACAUGCGCGUGACUCACUAGGAAAGAUGCGUCCUCUGUGAGCUCCGCGCCACCGGCCGGGAUACAGCUUCCUCAGCGCUGUUAAUCCAGCUCCACCGACCUUUCACCUCUCCUAAAGCUCCGGUGAAGUCCCCAGCAUGGACAAGAACAAGUUUGGCGGGUCGCAGAGAGCGCUCUCACAGACUAUUCCCGAAAUAUUCAGAACGGGCCCUAAAUACAAUAUGGCGCCGACUCCUUCGCACGCCUCCAGCCCGCCGGCUGCCGAGGAGGAGGACAUAGCUGAUUUUACCCCAAUGCUGCCCUUACCUGCUGACCCACUGAAUCCUGCUGAUCUGUACCGCUCCAUCCAGCUACUCUUCAAGACUGAACUGGGAAAGGCUGUGGCGGACUUCACAGAGCAGGUGGGUGAACUGGGUCAGAGGGUGUCAGAUAUUGAACUGAGAGCGGAUGAGCUGGUUGAUGCAAUUGAAAAUGACCGCACGCUCCUGGCGGAGCAUACUGAGCGCAUGGACAUGAUUGAGCUAAAAAUUGAGGACCUGGAGAACAGGUCGCGAAGAACAAAUAUACGCAUACGUGGCCAAAUAUACGCAUACAGACCUCACAGCAGCGGCGCUAGACCUCUUUACCAAGUUAUUACCACAAGUGGACUCAACAUUACUA